rnacentral:rRNA from 1 species
UACAGAGGUGGCAAGCGUUGUUCGGAAUUACUGGGCGUAAAGGGCGCGUAGGCGGUCCGAUAAGUCCUGUGUGAAAUCCCUCGGCUCAACUGAGGAACUGCACGGGAGACUGCCGGGCUUGAGUUCGGGAGAGGGAAGCGGAAUUCCGGGUGUAGCGGUGAAAUGCGUAGAUAUCUGGAGGAACACCGGUGGCGAAGGCGGCAUUCUGGACCGAUAUUGACGCUGAGGAGCGAAAGCCAGGGGAGCAAACGGG